rnacentral:lncRNA from 1 species
AUAACUAUAAGUAUGUUUAUACUAAUUAUAAUCAUAAUUAUUUACUUUCUUGUAUUUUGUUUUUAAUGAUAUACUUUAUUAAGGGAACCAUGAUAAAAUAUCUUUGACAAUAGAAGUUGUAUGUGUUGUUCUCCAUAUGAAUAUGAAGAUAGAAAACUUAAAAGAGGGCUACUAUACAAUAGUUUCAUAUUUUUGGAAAUGUUGAGCAAAGCUGCAAAGUCGCCAACUCCAUUGAACAUCAAGUAUCAACAAGAAGACUUACAAUUAAACCCAACGGUCAACACGACUCUGCAAAAUCCAGAGCUCCACCUGAGCUCAGGCCCCCUAUCAGUCUCCAACAAACAACUAUAUUCAGAAUAAAUAAUGAACUAAUUAACCUCUAACCGGUAAAGUAUAAAACCGGAUGAAACAUAACUAUAACAGUACCAAACAAGUGUUAGUACUAAACUGACAAAAAACUAUGUUAGGAACUUACAACUAAUAAAUGGAAUAAAUUCUCAG